rnacentral:rRNA from 1 species
GUAGGCGGACCUGUAAGUCWGUGGUGAAAUCUCAUAGCUUAACUAUGAAACUGCCAUUGAUACUGCAGGWCUUGAGUAAAUUUGAAGUGGCUGGAAUAAGUAGUGUAGCGGUGAAAUGCAUAGAUAUUACUUAGAACACCAAUUGCGAAGGCAGGUCACUAAGAUUUAACUGACGCUGAUGGACGAAAGCGUGGGUAGCGAACAGGAUUAGAUACCCUGGUAGUCCACSCCGUAAACGAUGCUAACUCGUUUUUGGAUUUUCGGAUUCAGAGACCAAGCGAAAGUGAUAAGUUAGCCACCUGG